rnacentral:lncRNA from 1 species
AGAAUAUAUGGUAGAACAGGCAAUGAGUGAUAAUUUAAAAACUGCAUUAUUCAAAACUGGUAAAAUAAAAAGCGAUAUGAUUCCAUCACCAAAUUAUGAAAAAUAUUGGCCUUAUACUAAUAAUAAUAAUUCAAGUAAAUUUGAUGACACUGCACUGAUGCCAGAUAUGAUAUUAAAAUUUUUUAAUAUUAAAAAUGGUCCUGCUUCUGUUUUAAAAUAUGCCACACUGAAUAGUGCAAGUCCAAAUUAUGCCAUUCAUAACAACGUUAAUCAGAACAACGUUAAUCAGAACAACGUUAAUCAGAACAACGUUAAUCAGAACAAUGCUAAUCAGAACAAUGUUAACACACGCGUAUCACCCCGUGAAUACCAUGUUAACUAUUAUGAUAUUUUCAAACUUAUUUUAAAAGGAAUAAAUGCGAUUCCAAUUGAGAAUGAAGAAAUUCAUAUGUUACUUACAUUUUUAUUAAAUAGAGAGAGACAUAAUUAUUACUUUAUGAGCAACAACAAAAACAAUUUAGUCGAUAUGCAAUUUGGUGCUAAUAGUGAUAAUAAUAAAUAUAAUUAUUCUAUACUACCAUUAGACGCAUAUAGCAACACAAAUAAUAUAUGCAAGGAAAUCUUAAAAUGUGCCAUUUCUAAUCACGAUUUAGUGCUAACAUUAAAAACAAUAGAUACUUUUUUAGAAUUAGUAUUAUAUAAAAAUUCGCUUAAAGAUAUAGUUUAUUUUUUAAAUACGAUUGGGGAGUACAUAAUUAUACCAUACUUGACACAUGAAUUGAUUGUAGCUAGUAAACAUGGUGGUUAUAACAACGGGCAAAGUGGCGCGAACCAAAUGAACGACACGAAUGGUGGAUAUACAAGACCGAACAUUGAAACAGAGAAAACCAGAUGCAUUCUUCAUAAUAAUAAUCAACAUAUCUAUGGAAAUAAUAGUGAAUUAUGUUCGGCAAAUUACACAAACUUUCAUAAAGUGCUAUGCAGAAUACCUUUACAUGAAUAUGAAUCCUUACAACUGUUACAAUUAUAUUCAUUACAUUAUCCUAUGUUUUUUAAAAUUAAUGAUAAACCACAAAGAUGUUUAAAAAAUUGUUUAAGACCUUGUGAAUACUAUAGUAAUACACUACCAGCAUAUGGAUCGUACAUAUUUCAAAUUUCCGUUGUUUUUGAAAUUGAUAACUCUAUAAAAGUACUAGAUGAACAUGGAUCGAAGUGCAAAAUAUUAUUUCAAUUAAGUGAAGAUGAUAAUGAUAAAAAUAACCAACUAGAUAUUGAUGUUUCUUCAAGUGAAGAUAAUAAAGUAAACAACUUUCUAGAAAUAAAUUUUAUACAAAAUCAUAUGUACACAAAAAUUAUAAAACCUACAAAGUUAGGUAAUAACAUGAAAGAAAAAGAAGCUGAAAUGUUUAGCAAUGUUAAACAAAAUUCUCAUCAAAUUAAUAAUAAAAAUUAUUCUAAUUAUAUUACUCAUAACAAAGGAUUGAGUAAUGAUAGUAAUAGCAGUAGUAAUGACUAUAGCUAUAAUAACACAAAAAACAAACAUAUAAAUGUAUAUGAUGUAACUAACAUGAACACAAUUGUUUUUGACAUAUUGGUAGAUCAAGGAUGUUAUACCAAUGAUAGUAGUGAUGUAAAUAUGGUUGAAAAUGACCAUACAAAUUUAGUCAUUUAUUCUAAUGGAAAAUACUUAUUAUCGACUUGUGUAAAAAAGGGUUCUUUUCUUUUUGAUGGCAAUAGCAGCGCUGAUAAAAGCGACAGAAGCGACAAUGACAAGCUUGCGCUAAAUAAUAGUAUAAAGUUAAAGGUAUUCACAUCCCGAACAUGUAUUGUUGAAUUUCCAAAAGAGUUUAACUGUUCUUCCACAUUCGUAAACGAAUUAAUAAAUAGAAAAUUGCUAUUAGAUAAUAAUAAAAAUUUUUUAUUAAAAAAUCAGAUAAACAUUAUUGAAUUUUACAAUAAAGUUUCCACUACAUUAAAUCGUUACAUGUAUCGCUUUUACGAUUGGAAUGAUAAUGAUUAUAAAAACAAAAUUAAAAAGGAGUCUGUUUGUUUAUUAGAUAAUAAUACAGACAUUUACACAUUUGAAGCAUUAAUUAAAUUUAUAGAAAACAAUAAUAAAAUUCUUAGAAUGCUGAGCAAAUUGGCAAAGAAUUGUUUAGAAGUAGGAUGUGUUGGAGAAAAUGUCGAAAAGGAAUGUGCAAACGGGGUGGCUAUUACUAAUAAUGAGCAUAGUAAAAUAAACAAUAGUAGCAAGAACUGCAGUAAUGCUUCUUUUGUUAAGUAUCGCCAAUACCUAUACGAAUGGAAUAAAAUGUCUGAUGCGCACACUUACGCAUUAAGCAUUUUGAAGUUAUAUUUAAAAAAUGAUAUAAACAUAGAAAAUAAUAACAGAAUAGAAAAUAAUGAGAAUUUUUACUCGUUAGCAGAAAGAUUGAUAGUAUGUUUUUUAAAAAUUAUUAAAUUAAAAACACCGUUCAUAAAUAAAAAAGAUUUUUAUAUAGAUUCCAAUUAUGAAAUAGAAGAGCUAGAUACUAAUGGUGCUUUAUGGUUAUUAAGAAGAAAUGUAUACCAAAUUCUUUUAGAGGGAGAUAAAAUAAUAAUAAGUAAUAUAUUUUUGAGAAUUAACAUAAAAACUAUUUUAAAGUUACUUAAGUUUUUUUCAAUAAAUAAUAAUUUAGAUUCAGAUAUGAUACUAAAUGUAUUAAAUUCAUUGGAAUCAAAAGGUAUUUUGGGUAUAAUAAUGAAGCGUUUGUUAAGUAAACCAUAUAAAAAUAUUUCUCAAAAAGAUAACAAUUCAGAUAUCAUUAUAAAAAAAAAUGGUUGUUCUCUAAAAUCGGGAACUAUGAACACGACUAACACUUUAUUCUCUUCUUCCUGCUCUAACUCUACUUUAAACAGUACUAGUUCGGAACUAUUAUACGAAAUAAACAUGAGUAUAGACAACAUAAUAGAAAAAAGAAAAAAAAGGAAAUACUACGAGGAAAAUAAACAAGAAAAUGAAAGAUAUUGGAAAAGAAAAAAAAAUUCAAAAUGUAGAAUAUUAGAUAAUACACAUUUAGGAGCGUUUGUUGAUGAAUUAAUUUUUUUAAUUAAUGAGCAAACUAAUAAUUCAAUCAAUGUAUCCGUCGUUCAACAUAUGGAUGAAUAUGAUUUCUAUUCAGAAAAAAAAUCUUGUUAUUUUAUUCAUAAAUUGUGCUCUUUUUAUAAACAUACUUCUGAUAAUGAAGAAAUAGAUAUCUCUACUUCCUACGAUUAUUAUUUAAAUAUAUUAAACCAAAUUCAACAAAAAAAUAACAGUGUAAGUAAUGCAAGCGAAAUUGCAUCUAUCUUUUUAAGAGGUAUAGUAUUAAUGCUGACCACAUACAUACUGGUUAUAGUCAGUAAAUAUGAAUAUUCGAAAACUUUUGUCUAUGAACCUGUUAUACCUUUUUAUAAUUUACAUAACGAAAUGUCUAAAAUUGAUAAAGAUGAAGAAAAUAAGAAACUUCAAGCGAGAUCUAGUAUAAACUGGCUUAACGGAAUGGGUGAUGUGCUUAAUCAAUGUGAUGAUGCUGUUGAAUCUUAUAUUGACAAAACACCAACCAACAAGAGCAAUUCAUUUUUUAACACUUGGAACAACUGCUUGAUAGAUAAUCACAGCAGUAAUAAAUAUAGUAGUAGUACCUGUAACAACAGUAGUAACAUAAAAUAUCCUAAUUAUGUAGAUGGUUGUGACUUUGUUUUAGAAAACGAAAAUAGAAGAAAUUAUAGUACCAUGCAUAAUUUUUACGAAGACAAUAAAAAAUUAUGGGUUCCAUUAGGCUCUAGUGAAACACCUGGUUUAAUUGACGAUUUAGUAUCUAAUUCGGAUGACUCUAGUUUAGACUUGUAUAAAAAUAGCAGCAAUAAUAACAACAAAGAAUUAUUUUCCGACCUUUCUCAUACCAAAUUAGAUAGUAUGAAUAGUAAAAGUGAGAACAAAAAAAAAUAUGGUAAAAAAAAUAAUAACAACAACAACAACAACACACGCAACAAUAACAAAAACAAACGUAUAAUUCAUCAUCAAUACUAUUAUAAUUCCGAUGAUUCAGAUGAAUUUUAUGUUAGAAAAAAAUUAGAAGAUGCGUACGAACAUAAUGACGAUUCAGCAAUUAACUUUAAAACUCAAUUAAAUCAAAUUAUGCAUAAAUUGUCUAAAAAAUUAAAAUGUGUAGAAAAUGGAAAUAAUGGAAAAAGUGGAGAUAAUGGAAAAAAUGGAAAUAAUGGAAAAAAUGGAGAAAAUAGCAAAUAUAACCAAAUAAAAAAGCUAAAAGAGUUGAAAAAGCUAAAAAAAAAAUUGAUAAAAUAUAAUAACGAUUCGAAAAAGCUAAACUUUAUUUUCUCUCUUUUAGAAGAAAUAUUAAAAAUAAUGUUAGGUGUUGGUUUAAGAGUGUUAUCUACUAUCUCACACCAUUUCUUAUAUGAAAAAAAUGGUAUAUUCAAGUUUAUACAUUUAUUUGGAUCUAAAGUUACACGAAAUGAACUGAAAAAUGGUGAAAAAUUAACUUUAUUCCAAUCGUGUUAUAACAUAAUAAAACCUCAAAAGCUGACACUAUUACAAUCAUGUAAUUUUGUAACGGAUGGGAUAAUACCAUGUUUAGCAUAUGUAACAAACAUUUUUGCUGAUAACAAAACAAGCAAUUAUUUUUAUAUCAAAGAAUUAAAAAAUUAUUUUUCAUUUAAAAUGGCUUUAAAUAUAUGGCCCAUGUUUUUAAAAAUAACAUUACAAAGUUUAUUAACUUCUAGAAAUUUGACUUAUGAAAUGUCUGUACAUAAAGAUAGUUUACAUCCAUUAGCAAAUUGUUGUAUGAGUAUUACAACUUUAGCUACUCACUUUUUAACAUAUUUUACUAUUAUGUCUGACAAUUUAAGUAUAUAUGAAAUACAUGUAAACAUGAGCAAACAUUUAAAAUCAAAUUCUGCUACUAAUAAUAGCUCAUACCCAAUACCCUUAAUUUUAGUUAACGCUGCCAAAUAUAUUCGUAUUACAUCAAAAAAAAAUAAGUAUUAUGAUUUUGAAAAGGCAAUCAGAACUAUUUUAUUACAACUUACAGAUUGUUCUGUAUGCGAUUACGAAAAUUAUGUAUUCAAUCAUUAUGUUCUUCCACAAAGUGUUUCAAGCUUUUUAUCUGUAACUAAAAAUGUAAACGGAGAGGGUAAUAAUUCUGUUAAUCCAUAUCACGAUCUAUCUAAAAAAAUGCCAACAAACGAUUCAUGUGACAAAAGUGUUUUAAACGAAAGCAAGUCUUGGGGAAAAGCAAGUAUGCAAAUAAAUUUUGUACCAUCAGCCUAUAUAGAAAAAAAUGGUUUGAGUAACAAUUUAGUUAAAAGUAAUGAGUACGGUAAAAAUAUGGAAGAAUGUGAACAAGAACAAAAUAAGAUAAAAAAAAAAAAAAAAAAAAACCGAAAAAACUUUUUUAAGACUGAAGAAGAAUGUAAUAUGUAUAAAAAAAAAAAAAACAUAGAAUUUGUAUAUAAAUUAAUGUCAAAUGAUAAAGAAGCUGUGUCAUAUUUAGGAACUCAUUAUAGUGUUUUUCAUAAAAAUUUUGAAAAAGCCCAAAUAGCUCUAGUAGCUGUGUUUUUGUACCUAACUGGUUAUAACCAUAGUAAUAGAACAACACAUGUGAACAAAAGCUAUUCGGAACAUGUAUAUACUAAAGAACAAAAAGACGAUAUAUUAAUAAAUGAACUUUUAGAAAUAAAAAAAAUAAAAAUAGCAUGUAAUUUAGCAAGACAAGGAGUUAUUGAACUAAUAUCGAAAAGUCAAACGAACCAUCAAAAACAAAAUAAUCAAUGCACAUCAUCAUCAUCUCAGCUUCAAAUGGGUGAUGAAAAACUGAUGGAAAAAAGUAUAGACUUUUUCGAAUUUGAUACUAAAGUGUUUGAUGAUUUAAAUAGUGCGUUAGGUAGCGCUAAUAACAUAGGUAAUGAUGUGCAUCACAAUUUAGACACUCUCGAAAAUCAUAAAAAAAAUAACGUAGAAUCCAUACACAGUGGAGAAUCCAAAGAAUUUGUGUUUGAUAAAAAAAAAGCUAGAGUCGAAUAUGAGUCAAAUAAUGUUAUCGAACAGAAUGCAAACAAUUUUAAUAAAAUGAUGUCAAGUGGUACUAAUGCAGUAACAGAAGGAGUAGGAAAAAAUAUAUUACAAUAUAAUACUAAUAACAAUAAUAAAUAUAAUAUAAGUAACGAAUCAAUAACAGUAGAUUUAAUGAAAAAAAAACGAGAAAAACAAAUAAAUAAAAUUAUAAAAAAAUGUGAAUGGAUUACACAAACUUAUCCAUUUGGUUUAUGCCCAAUAAUUGUUAAUAAUACAUUUUCACAUGAAUGGGAUGAACAAAUUGUUUUUAUGCGUCGUGACUCUUACAAUAUCCCUACUACUAUUAGAAAAAUAUAUCCAGAUCGUAGUGACUAUUAUAUUAUUCAAGAAUCUGCAACCAUGCCUACCUUUGCUAGCUCUAAUUUUAAAACAAAUGUUUCUUCUUCUUGUUAUUUAGAACAAUUUUAUAAAUAUCAAAAUAAAAUAGAUGAUAAGUUGCAAUGUAUGCAAUUUAGUACAGAAAACAUUUUUAACAAAGUAACAACCAAAAAUAUGUAUCUAUUAAAAAGAUUAUUAAAAACGUAUAAAAGAAAUGUUAGUUUCAAUGAAUCAAAUAAUGUACAAAUUAAAUAUGACAACGCUAUUUCUAUAACAAAUGACAAAAAAAUAAGUAUAUACUUAAAUAAUAACAAAAUAAGUAAUGACUCCAACAGUUACCAUAAUUAUGAUAGUUCAUAUUAUUCGAAUUAUGAUCCAAAUUAUUAUACCAAUUAUAAUGUUGUUGACAAAAAUAAUGAGUCUUCUGAAAAAGUAUCGAUGGUGCAAGAUGAUGUUAGUACUGGUAUGGGUCGCAUAGAAAGUAGUAUUGAUGGGGGUUAUAAAAAUGAAUGUGACAGUCAUAUGACUGGCCAAUUGUGGAUAAACACUAACACAUUAACAAAUGAUAAUAUUACUCAGAAUAGAAGGAGUGAAGUGAAAAUGCAAAGUGGUAAUGAUAAUCUGAUAAAUUAUAAACAAGUUCCUUCGUUUUCGUUUAAAAACCGUGAAGAGAAUGGCUUGUUAUUUCAAAACGGUACUAAUAGUAGUAGUACUAGUAGUAGUAGUAGUAGUAGUAUUAAUGGUGUCAAUAAUAAUAUAUGCUAUAAUAAUACCAUCACCACAGCAACUGGUACAAACCACUUGUUCGAUUACGAUCGAAAUACGUCUGCUCUUAAUUUAAUCGAUAUACAUAACGGGCAGUAUCAACAAGAAAUGAUUAAAUUUGCAAAAAAUAAAGAAAAUAUAAGUGAUAUACAAAAUAUAGUUCUUACAAAUUCUGAAAAUAUGUUGAAUGUUUUUGGUAACAAUAAUACCGACCUAACUAGUACGGGAAAAACCUGUAGUGAUAAUAGCAUUAGUAACGAUGUGAAACUAAACGAAAUAUCAGAAGAAUGUAUAAGCAAUAGUAAACUACUUUCUAAUUUAGAAACUAUACCUAUACAACAGUUUCUUGAUAAAGCUAUUAAUGUUAAAAAUUUUCCACAAUUAAAUGAAAUCUUAAAUUUUUUGAUUGAUGAUAUUAAUUUAGAUACAGUUUUAAAAAUAAUAAGAAUAGAACAACUAACUUUUUUAUGUAGAUACUUAAUUGGUAGAAGUGUUAAAUCUAUGUUAUGUGCAGGUAUAUUUGGCGAAAUUAAAAACCCUUUAAUUAAUAUGAAUAAAAAUAAUAACUUAUGUUUAGACACGUGUUCGGAAAUGGAAAGGUAUAGCCAUCAUCACAACUCGGAUAAUACAAGCGGAAGUAAAAAAGUUGUCAAAGCUAAGCAAAAUGUUGAAAACGGUAAUAUCAAUAUCGCUGGUAAUGAUAAUAAUGUUAAUAAUAAUAUAAAUAAUGAUAAGCUAAGCUUACACGUAAAGUCUCCUACGUCAAAAUACAAAAACAUCGCAUUAGACAGCAACAACAACAACAACAACAACAGCAAUAACAACGGUAAUAGAAGUAAAACAAAUAUGUGCAAGAACAAAAAUAAGAAAGCUAUUUUUGAGUUGUUAAGAGAAAAGUCUAACAAAAGUACACAAUGGCCAGUUAUGUUAGAUAUACUUGUACCUACGUCAAGCAGAGGAGGAAAAAACUUGAAUGAAUGUAACAAGAUGCCAUGCAAUGUGUUUGACCCAUGUUUAUUUUCUGUACAAAACUAUGGCUGGAUGCUUUUUAAAUUAUUACAUAUUAUUAUUAUAAAAUUUCGAAAUACAACACCGUUGCAAAAUGUGCUCACAGAACUGAAUGUAAAUAAUGGUAAGAAACAUAACAUUAUUAACAGCAACAAUAAUAUGCUCAACAAAAGUAACAACAAUUUAUAUAUGAUAAAAGAUAAUUUAUUUUGUUAUAACAAUUUAUUAGAACAACCAAUGGAACAUGCAUUAUCAUUAACAUUAACUGAUAUAACAAAAAGUAUUUGUACGUGGUAUUUAAAAUAUAAUCGUAAAAUGAUAAUGAAUUAUUCUAAUUUUUCACAAAUCAUUAAAAAUUCUAUGAAUACAUUAUGGAUCGAAAGUAUAUUAAGGUUAAUAUCUUUGCAAAUAUGUUUACGUGUAAAACCCUUAAAUGACAGUAGAUAUGUCGUACCUUUUUUGUAUCAUAUGUUAACUAUUUGUCAGCCAUUAUUAAGAGAAGUUCAUUUAAACUUUGAAAACUUAAGUAAAAAAAUAUUUACUAAUAGUAAGAAAACAAAGUCAUACUUGAACAAUAAACAAAAAAAAAAUCACUUGGGAAAUAAAAAAAAGUCUAUUUCCGGUAUUAAUAAUAAUAAUAACAACUACCUAGUUGACCCUAGUAACAAUAGUUACUAUUCUAGCAGAGUAUUAACAUGCUUUCAUUGUCACAAAGCUAUAAAAUACAAUAGACUGAAUAAAAAUAACCAUCAAGUAUAUAUAAUCGACGAACCUAUGGAAAGUGUUCAAAAAAUCAAAUCUGAAGAAGAUGUUAUAUCUAAUAGUAGUUCUAGUAAAAAAGGUUAUAAAAGUAGUACAGUAAAAAAGAAUAUACUUGAUGUAAAAGGGUAUAUACAUUCUGAACAAAUACAGAAAAAGAAAAAACAAAUUAAAAAAAAAGUUUUCAAAGUAAUAAGUUAUAAUUCUUCCGAAAACGAAAACGAAAAUGAAAUAGCACUUGAUAAUGUAAUCACUGGAGUUGUUAUUUAUCACGAGGUUCUUACUAAAACUGAUAAUAAUGAAAAAGCAGGAUGUAUAAAAAAAAAGUCUCAAAUUUUACAAAAUUUAAAAGGUUUUAUUAUCAAAAAUGAAUAUAUAUAUGAAAAUAAUUAUUACGCAUUAUGUGUGCAACAAUAUAAAAAUUCAGUAACAUACACCUUACCCUUAAAAAAAUUGAUUAAAAAUAUAAAUCAUACUACCGACACGAAUAUAUAUACUGAUUCUGCGCUUGAUAAAUCGAAUGGUUCCUAUUGGUCGGUUAUCGGAGAACCUAUAUGCAACGUAUAUGGAAAUGCUAAAACCAUAUCAGAUGUACAGUUAGAAAUUUGUUCUAAUAAAAAUGGUACUACAUCGACUAGAAAACAUUAUUUAAAAAAAAACAAUUACGAAUUAGACCUUUCCAUCAAAACAGAUGCAAAGGAUGUAUUUGUAAAUGUUUGGGUAAAAAAAAAAGCAAUUGUUAUUAAUCAAGAAAUAAUAGAAUGUGUGAAUAAUCGCACGACACCGGAAGGGUUAAGAAGCUCAUUUACAAAUAAUAAAAAAAAAGAAAAAAAAAGUAAUAAGGGUAUUAAAAAAAGUGACAUAUUAUCCCAGGCAAAAUAUAAUAAUGGAAGAAAGUUAAGUUUUGCAACAAACGAAGAGGGAGAAAAUGGCGAUUUAGGUAGUUCUGGUAGUUCUUAUAGUUCAAGUAGUUCUGAUAGUUCUGUUAGUUCUGCCAGUCCUGCUAGUCCUACUAGUUCUGUUAGUUCUGGUAGUUUUUGUACAUGUCACCAGUUCAUCGUACGUGGUUAUGAGCGUUCAGGCGAUAGUUUAAACGCAAGUUUGAGCGAGAACCUAGAUGAGAAUUUAGACGAAAUUUCUGAUUCAAAACGCAACUCUCGUUCUAGUACUAAUUACAGUUUCAGUAACAGCUCCCAUUCACGUGACAACAUUCGUACAGCAGACAAGAAUGCAGAAUGGACAGACAAACAGCACAAAGAAAAUAUGAAGUACGAUAUGAAUGAGAAUUUGAACUAUAAGAAACUAAAAUUAAUCAGUUGGAAUUUGAUAAAAACAGUUUUAUGGGGUAUACUAGUUUCAGGUGAAAGCAUAGAAGUCGAUAAUACUGACUACGAUUUGAAUGAAAGCAAUACUAAAUAUUUAAAAAGAAAUUUCUGCAAAUUAUCAGAUGAUACAAUAUAUGGUCCACAUAAUUAUAAUAAACUUAAAUCUGAGUUUAAUUCAUUACAAAGGACAAGUUUAAUAGAAUCUGUACUAAAAAUGAUUAUGACAGUCUUAAUAAAAUUGUGUAAUAUUGUAAUUAUAUAUAAACAUUUAACAAGAAAUAAUAAAAAUUCUCUUUAUGUUAUUAUUGGUAAUAUAAAAAUAACUGAACAACAAGUUAAAGAAUGUGAACAAUUAAUAAAUCAUUUUAUGCAUAUUUUAAUAACAUGUGUACAAAACUCAUCUACUGGAGCAGUUAUACUUUUAAAGUGUUUUUUAUUUAGUCAAGAUAAUCCUACUUCUCAUUUUAAAAAGUUACGUACAUGUAAUAUUAAUUGCAAUUUAUACAAGUUAAUUACAGAAUGCAUAAAAAAGGCUGUAAACCAUUCAGAUGAAAUUAGUAUAUUUUUUAAUCAGUUUUAUAAUAAAAACAUUUUAACUAAUGGUAUUAUUAUUAACAGUAACAGUAAUAUUAGUAAUAAUAGCAGUAGUAGUAAUAUUAGUAAUAUUAGUAAUAGUAAUAAUAGUAAUAUGGAGGAUGAAAAGCAUGCAUGUUGUUAUGCUGGUAAAAAUAACCAGGCAGGAAAUAGUGAACCGAAUAAUGCUGUAACUGUUUUUCAUACAAAAAUAAAUAACGAAUUGAAUGGAUAUCCAAAAGAAAAAGUUAACAUAAGCAACCAUAAUGCAACAAUAAAUUGUGUAAAAACGCAAAGGGGGAUAUCGAAAUUAGUAACAAAACGUUAUGAUAGUAAUAUAAAAAGUAAUUAUAAAAAAGAUAAAAUACAUGGCUUCUUUUUAUUAAAAUGUUUACCUUCUAUUAAAUUAUUCCCAGAGAUUUUAAUUUUACAAGAAAUUAAGACAUUAUUUUAUAACCGAAUGGAUAGUGACAGAAACAGUGUAAAAAGAGGAAGCAUAAAAACUGGUGAUGAAGAUAGCAGUCAAACUAGUGGCAAUAGUAAUAGCAAAAAAAGUAAUGAUAAUAGUAACAGUAAUGAUAGUAAUAUACUAACAAAUGAAGUGUUAAGAGAUACAAUGUUACCUGCUUCGAACGAUUUUUACAUAAAUGAAACAUACAAUCAAAAUAAUUCGCAUGGUAAUGAUAGUAGUAGUAUUACUAAUACUACUAAUGAUGUCAAUAUUGAUUUUAAUAGUGGUAGUCUAACUAACGUUUUAGAUAUAAUACCAAGACUAUCGAAUACGAAUUAUCCAUUUAAUGGUUUACCAAAAUCAGAUUUCUUUAUGUCAUCAGAACCAUCUAGCGAUUUUGAAUGUACUAUGGAUGGUAGAUAUUUAAGAGUGUUACGUGGUCUAAAUUUAGGAGGUGUAGUUUUAUGUUUAACUCCUCUCACUUUUCCAGCUUUAAAUACUAAAGAAGACGAAGUUAAUGAUAUUAUAAAUUUUCGUAUUCAAACAAGAGGUCGUUUUGGUGUUACAGUUGCACCAGCUGAGUGUAUAUUAUCAAAUGUUGCAGAAUUAUUCAACAGAAAUGAUGUAGUUGGAUUUCGUACUAGUACAUGUCCUGCUUUUAAACAUGACGUUUUUGCGGCUAAUGUACAAUAUGAACUUGGUGAUUUAUUAAGUGUAAAGUUUAAUGUAGAAGAUCAUGAGAAUAAAAAAUGUUUAAGAACCGAACUGAUGGUAUCAGGUGUUAGUAUUGGGUCUGUGUUAGAAGUAUUAUUCGAACAAAAUUCACAAAUAGAAAUUGAAAGAAGAAUGAAUUUGAUAUUUAUUUUUCAAGACCCUAUGACAAUAUUAUAUGAAGGACCUACCUUUACGUUAGAUUAUGUGGACCCAGAUAAUACAAAUAAAAAAUCUAUAAAAAAAAAUUCAAAAACUACUGAAGAUUAUAUUAACGAGUUUUAUAAAAUUUUGGGACAACCAACAUACAAACAAAAAAAAACGAAUAUAAAAGAACAAAUAAAAAAAAUUAUUUUAAAAAGAAAAGAAUUUUACGAAUCAGUAAAAUUACAUCAAGCUAUUCUUAAUUCAGAUAAUGAAAUCUUAAAAGAUUUAAAAAAUGAAAUGAUAAUUAGAAUGAAUAAGACUCUUACUAAUAUGGUAGAACGUUUACAAUGUAAUGAUGACAUAUCAUUCAAUUCUUCCAUUUUGUUAGCUUCUAAUAAUGUGAAUGACGAUUCUUUUUUUAUGGCAUCUAAAAAAAAUAAAUUAAAAACAUUAGGUUCUACUUCUAUUAUAGUAUCUGAUGUACAUCAAAAUGAUAAUAAUAAUGGUGAUAGUGGUAGUAAUAAUAGUGAUAGUGGUAGUAAUAACAACGGAAAAAAAAAAAAAAAAAANNNNNNNNNNNNNNNNNNNNNNNNNNNNNNNNNNNNNNNNNNNNNNNNNNNNNNNNNNNNNNNNNNNNNNNNNNNNNNNNNNNNNNNNNNNNNNNNNNNNAUAGUGAUAGUGGUAGUAAUAACAACGGAAAAAAAAAAAAAAAAAAAUAAUAAAAAAAAAAAUAAAAAAAAAACGCCAAUUAGUAAAAAAUAUCAUAAGAAACUUGUGAAUGGUAAAAAGUUAUUUUUAUCAUUAUCUAGUAUCGAAAAAAAGAAUAUUUACAAAAGUGAUUCGGUAAAAAACGGCAAGUCGAAUCAAAUAAAUGGUUUAAGUUCUUCGAAGCAAGGGUUUCAUCGGGUGAUUAAUUACAAAAACAAUGAGACUAAUUUGGAAAAUGUCAGUGAUACAAGUGAGGACUUUAAUUCAACUCCGGUUCGCAAUAAUAAUAAUAAUAAUAAUAAUAGUAACGAACACGAUCUAUCAGGCUCCUAUUUACCCAAAUGCUAUAAAACGAAAAGAAAAAACGGUCAAAGCCAUAUAUCCUAUAAUAAUUAUUCAUCUUUCGUAAACAAAAUAAAAAAAAAUAAAAUAAACACUAAUAUGAAUAAAAUAAUAAGAGAAGUGAUGUCUAUAAUUUGUGUUCUCGGAUUAAAUAUAAAUGAAGAAGAAAACGAAAAGUACACUGAUACAAAAAACAAAAAAAAAGAAAAAAAUAACAGUAAAAAACUUAUUUAUAGUGAGUUACCAUGGUUAUCAAGUUUAUCUAAUUUAAAAAAUUCAGUUGCUUAUAAUAUGGAUAGAAAAUGUAUAGAAUCGUUUUUUUGUAAUUUAGUAAAUAUUAUAUGCAGUAAUACAUUUUUAAAAUCUAUUUUUAAAUUGAAAAAAAUUGAAAUGGGACAAACAGGUGACAAUAGUAGCGAAACAUUUAGUUACAAACAUAAAAAUAGCAAUAGUAGUUAUGAUGGUGAUAAUAAUAUUCAAAACGUUAGUGAUAUAAAGAUAAACAAAAAAAGAAGAAAUUCUGAAAAAUUAAGUGAAACAGAAGCAAAUUAUAUGUUAAAUACAGAAACUUCCGCUUUUAACCAUAAUAACAUAAGUACUCCAAACAUAACGAACAGUAUUAACGCAUUAGCAAUGUAUAGUGCAACUGAUAAUAAUAGCCGUAGUAGUGUUAGUUAUAAUAACAGAAGUAGUAAAAAUAAUGAAAGCGUUUAUACAAAUAGUGGUAACACACAAAGUGGUAGUAAUAUAUGUGAGAGUUUUUUUACAGGAAACGUUGAAAAUGGUAAUAAUUUAACAACGAAUUCGAUGCAUAUUGAAGAAAAUGUCAUAAUAGAUGAAAGUCAAAACACAUCUAGGUCAAGUCGUAAAAAUAAUACUGAUAAAUUUUAUAGUAAUGGUAAGACUUCAGUUAGUAACAAUAAUAAUGGUAUAAUUGGUAAAAAAAUGGAUAGUAAGAAACGCUCAUUUACAGAACAAGUAAAUAAACAUAACUUUUUGGAAUAUAACAUAUAUUUGAUAGGAAUAAAAUCAAUGUUAUGUUGUUGUAUUUUAUUAAGAACAUUAUUAGAAAUGAACACAGAAAAAUCUUAUGAACCUAAUAAAGAGGUUUAUGAAGCAUUUAAAAAGUUAUUAAAUUUUAUUAAACUGUUUCAUUUUGUUAAUAUAGGUACAUGUGAUGUACUAGUUAAUCAUUUUUUUGCAAUUAAUUUUCCAAAUACAGAAGAAUCAUUUAAAAAACAUAACAUCUGUAACAAUUCUGUAAAUAUACCUCCAUGUGACGUUUCUAAUCAUAACACUUCAGGUAGUUUUGUUAAAUGCUUCGAAAACGAGUCAAAUAGUAAUAAGACUUAUGAUAUGAUUUCUACUGAUAAAUCGAACAACAGGUGGAAUUUAAUGGAUAAAAAUAGCAGUAGAAAUGUUACUAACCUAAGUGAAAGUAAAAAAAAUAUGUAUAGAACAUAUAAUAAUCAAGAUAAUAUGAACAUGUUUGAUAUAUUAAAAUGUUGUGGUAUAUCAUCUGAAUUUCUAAGAAAUUAUAAUUUACACCCACCAACAAUUAAAAAUCAACAAGUAAUAAAACAAAAUGAUAGUUUCGAUUUAUGGAUUUAUAUUUUAAAUGUAUUAGUUUGCUUUAAUAGUCAAAAUCAAUAUUCGUUAAGUUUGCCAUUCACUGAUAAACAAUUGGACAACAAUUCAGUAAGGACUGGUAUUUUUGAUUUUGAUUAUGUAAAUAAUUGUUAUUCUAAUAAAAUUGCAUAUCAAAAUACGAAAAUAUACGGAGAAAGGCUAAUGAAAAUAUACACAAUAAAUAUAUGCUGUUUCAUGACUUUGCUAUUUCCUAAAAUGUUUAUAGAUGAAUUAAAAACUAGUUUGAUAAAAAUAAAUGAAAAUGAAAAAAUGGUAAAAAUAAUAAGUCAGAACUAUGUCAAUAAUGGUACUUGUGACACUAACCUUAUCAGCGGUGACAGUGAACAAAUCAACAGUCAUGAAGACCAAAUCAUCGGUACAUGUGGCAUAAACACCUGUCUGGAACAUCCAUUGGAGUACAAUAGCAACACAUGUGUACACAAUAACAGAAAAGAAAAUGCUAAUAAUGUUGCUAAACCAUGUUGUCACAAAGUUAGUAAUUAUAACAAAGUAAAUAACAUAAGCCAAUUAUUUAAUGCUGGAUCUCGAAAUAAAAAUGAAUUUUUAAAUAUUUUUAGUAUAAUGCAUUUAUUCCGUAUAUGUAUAUAUUAUCUUAGUAGAAAUAAAGAUUUUCGAAAAGAAGAUUAUUGGCAAGAAUACCAAGGACAGUUACAAAAUGCGAAUAUAAAAAAAAACGUAUAUAAACAAAUUGAUGAAAGAAGUGCAUAUUAUUCUGUAUUAUAUGGAUGGCAAAAAAUAUGGUACCAAUGUGUUGUUACUUGGGAAGAUAAAAAAUUAGUAGAACAAUUAUUAUGUAUAAUUCAAUGUGAAUUACUUUAUCAUUUAAUGGGUUCUAUUGGUCAGAGUGUGUCAAAAAUAAGAGUACAAGUAGAUGAUUAUCAUGCGAUUUCACCUUCUGUUCAUGUAGCACAUUGGAUGUUAGAUACGUUUGUUAGACAUCCUUUAUGUCCUUCAAAAAUAAGAUCUACAUGUAUUACUCCUAUCACUGUUACUUCAUUAUUUGGUUUGAUUAUGAAAGGUACUCGACUACCUAUUUUUUUAGGUAUAGAUGUAAGUAGAUUAAUAUACUGGUUUUGUAUUGUUCAUAUAUUACAAAACGGUAAAUUGGACAAUAAUUAUAAAAAAUUAAAAAAUAUAGAUAUGUUUACCCAGUUUGGCAUUUACCUAGAACAUGACAAUAUGUUAUAUGACGAAGAGGCUUCUAUUAAAGACUUUGGUUCCAAAAUCAAACAUAAUAAUUAUAUUAAAAAAGAAGAAAAAAAUAUAUAUUAUAUGAACAAAAAAAAUGGAAGUAUUAACGGUAAUUAUUAUGAAUUUUUAAACUAUAUUUUUAAAUGUGUAAAUAUUUGUGGAACUUCUAUUUUUAAUCAAAUAUCGACAAUUUGUAAAGAGCAAAAUAUAAAUAAAAAGAAAAACAAUAAUGGUAGUUCUAAUAAAAAUACAGUUGAAGGGGAAAGACAAGAUGACGGAACUGGACAGGCUACCGAAAACAAUGGAAUCGAAAACACCAACGGUAGUACCAAUGACAACGGCACCAGCAACGAAAAUGGAAACAGCAACAACGACAACGUCGAAAAUAACGUCGAAAACAAUGCCGAGAAUAACGAUAAUGCCGAAAGUAAUGACAACAACGCUAGAAACAACAACGCUAGAAACAACAACACCAUGAACAACAACUACUUAAACGUUAUGGACCACUUAAACACAAACGUUUAUGAAAUACAGAACUGCAUAGAUAAUCUAAGCGGUAACAAUCAAAUUCCAAAUACGGAUUUAAUCGGAGGCAGUGGUAGUUUAAGCGAUGAAACUAUGUACAAUUUAAACGAUAAUAAUGCCACUAACCCUAAUAUAUGUUCCACUAAUAUUAAUACCUUUCAAGAAAACACCGAAUUUGAUAAUAACAGUAAUAGAUUAUCAAAUAUUAAUGAAAGCAGUUGUAAUGCUUUAUGUACAAACUCGGAUAGUGUAAUUGCAAAAAGUAAUAAACGGUUACCAACUGAGCUUUCAAAUUUUGAUUUGUUUGAUGACAAUGAAAAUAGUACUCACAACCCUUUAAAAAUUAAUGUUUCUUUACUCAUUCAUUAUUUUGCAUGUGCCGCAUAUUAUAUAAAAAAGAUAGAUACAUAUAAUAGUAUAAAAUUUUAUAAUGGAUAUAUUCAUAGUUAUUUUAAAAAUUAUUGUUUAUUUAUAAGUGUCGUUGAUCAUGUAGCCAAAUUGUAUUCUAAAAGUAGUUUGAGAAAAAAUGUUUAUAAUAAAAAUAAAUCUAUACAAAAUGAAUAUCCAAACGAAAAUGGUGUUGAAACUUUUACAGUAACUAAUGAAUACAC